ACACCUUCAAGCUCUGCUUGGUGUUGGGCGUCUGUCCCGCCUCCGCGCGUGGACUCGCCUCAAAGCGAUUGGCGGCUGGUAUGACGGCCUGGAGUGCAGCACAUUGCGCCCCUUGCCCGGAGGCCGGCCCCCACAAGCUACAUCUACCAC
rnacentral:misc_RNA from 1 species